GGCGGGUGGCAACGGGGUCGUGGCGGCGGCCGGAACCCCCCCGCCCGGACACGCCCGCCCGGGGAAGGCGGCCGGGGCACGGCGGGUGCUCGGCGGGCGUUUGCGUGACGGAGGGGCGAGGAGAGGCGGAGAUCUUCUCGAGAUACCAGCUCACGGAGAACACCUUCUUGAAGACCGUGCCAGGAUCUCACAGCCAGCACCAAAAGCUAUCCGUCUGUCCACCUGCACCGGGAUCUCACCUGCAUGGGCAUCUGCGUGUUCCCUUUCUGCUGUAGCAACGUGUGGAUCUCAGAGCGGUGGCA
rnacentral:lncRNA from 1 species